rnacentral:rRNA from 1 species
GACGAACGCUGGCGGCGCGCUUAACACAUGCAAGUCGAACGGAAAGGCCUGCUUUCCCUUGUGGAUUGCGGGUACUCGAGUGGCGAGCGGGUGAGUAACACGUGAGUGAUCUGCCCCCAACUUGGGUAUAAGCCUGGGAAACUGGGUCUAAUUCCCGAUAGGACUGCAGGGUGGUGCCUGUGGUGGAAAACGAUUUUCUAGUGGUUGGGGAUGAGCUCGCGGCCUAUCAGCUUGUUGGUGGGGUAAUGGCCUACCAAGGCGGCGACGGGUAGCCGGCCUGAGAGGGUGGACGGCCACAUUGGGACUGAGAUACGGCCCAGACUCCUACGGGAGGCAGCAGUGGGGAAUAUUGCACAAUGGGCGGAAGCCUGAUGCAGCGACGCCGCGUGGGGGAUGACGGCCUUCGGGUUGUAAACUCCUUUCGACCGCGAGGAAGCCACCUGGUUGGAAGGGUGGUGACGGUAGUGGUAGAAGAAGCACCGGCUAACUACGUG